rnacentral:rRNA from 1 species
AGAGAGAGACAUGCGCGCAUAUCAAUAAGCGGAGGAAAAGAAACUAACAAGGAUUCCCUUAGUAACGGCGAGUGAAGCGGGAAGAGCUCAAAUUUGAAAUCUUCAAGGUUUUACCUUGACGAAUUGUAGUUUAAAGAAGUGUUUUCUGCUGAAGUUUUGGUAAAAGUUCUUUGGAAUAGGACAUCAUAGAGGGUGAGAAUCCCGUAUUUGACCAUUAUUUUCAGCUUUGUGAUACACUUUCAAAGAGUCGGAUUGUUUGGGGAUGCAGUCCAAAAUGGGUGGUAAAUUUCAUCUAAAGCUAAAUAUUGGCGAGAGACCGAUAGCGAACAAGUACCGUGAGGGAAAGAUGAAAAGAACUUUGAAAAGAGAGUUAAACAGUACGUGAAAUUGUCAAAAGGGAAGCGUUUGACACCAGUGUUGUUUUCUCGAAAAUCAAUUAAAAAUGGCUCGAUUUUGUAUUGCUUGAGACCUUAAAAGCUCACUGUACAUUUUUCGUGUCUUUUUUAAUGCACUUUUCGUUUAACAAGUCAACAUCAGUUUCUUUUGUUGUAAAAGGGUCAUUGGAAGGUGGCUUUCUUUUCGGAGAAAGUGUUUAUAGCCUUUGGCCUCUGCAAUCGGAGAGACUGAGGUCUGCAGCGUAGACUCUUCGGGGUUAGAUAGCAUUUGUGCUAAGUUAUAGCUUUCUAUAGACAACUUGUUGACUAUAAUUAGUCUUGUAGCUUACUCGCUUAUGCUAUUUUACCUACGCUUAGGAUGUUGAGUCGUAGAGCACGCAG